UCUCAGCUCUCAUUAUUUCCACUCUUCAUCCACUGCUCACAAACUUUCUACACGUACUACUCUCUAAUCUUUGAACUGACCCAAUGCCGCUAAAAUUCAUCGGUUUUAGUAAAUAUUUCUUCAAUUUCAAGGAUGUGGUUAAACUUAACAAUUUUGGAAGCUAGGAAUCAGUAUUCACGAUUGCGAUUUCUUUGUAUAAUUUAAGGUAAUUUAUACAUUUAUAUAAUUUAUAUUGAUUUUAUGAGUUUAUGAUGUAAAUAUAACAAUUUCUUAUU